AGGAAACAGAGGAAACAGAGGUAACAGAGGAAACAGAGGAAACAGAGGAAACAGAGGUAACAGAGGUAACAGAGGAAACAGAGGUAACAGAGGUAACAGGGGUAACAGAGGUAACAGAGGUAACAGAGGUAACAGGGGAAACAGAGGAAA